rnacentral:lncRNA from 1 species
GAUUAAAGCGGUCCUUCUGCAAGCUUCUGGGUCCAGGAACUCGGAGCUGGAAGGGCAAAUACCACGUCUGGUCUACUGAAUUGGCAAGCCUCCUGGCUCAGGCACCACUGGACUCCAAUGUUCAGAAAACGGACAGUUGCUAUGUUGUGAGUAUUCUGGCAUUGUUGAGUUGGAACCAUCUGGAAUCCUUCUGGAUACUGACUGUUGGGCCCCUUGUAGUUUCUGGAAUUUACCCGCUUCUAGGAGCCACCUCUCUCCUCUGCACACAGGAGCUCAUCUGCACUAAAGGAUUAGAAGCAAAUAGAAUCUACCCCACGAUCCAAGCUCAAAGGAUCUGGCCUGCUUGCUGGUGUCUUCCCCUGGCCUCCGCUGGGUGGUGUUUGCCUGCCCAGGUCACUGAGACCAGCAGAUCCUUCUAGGCUUUGCUGAACCUGGCUGGUAAUAACUAUCUGACCCUUCAAUUCUUCCAUACACUGAACUCGUUGCUCCAGUGAAUCCCUUUCCCAGCCCACCUUGUUUUGUCUCUGCCUUUCUGUCUCUCCCACUUUCUCACCCUUUCAUGUAAUUCAGCAACUAUUUUAAAACAAAUAGCUUUAUAUGAACAAACUACAAUGCUUAAGAAAUCAGAAAAAUCAAUUGUUCUUCUCUUAUAUCAAGACCAAUCCUUAAUGCAUCGUGAAAGACUGGAACACCUGGGUGGCAUAUGCAAGCAUCAUCGGAAUUGAUCUCAGGAUCGAAGCGCUGACCGCAGCC